ACCAGAGGCAGCGGGCGUCUGCGGCCUGUCAAAAACUGGCGCUUUUUUCCUCCCCUUUCCGUGGAGAGACUAUCAACUCCAUCUGUCACAAAAAUUAAGGCUAAAUCUCCUCUCCAGAAGCAGAGGGAGCCGGGGCUCCGACGCGCUCAGCGUCGGGCUGUCUGCCUCUCCCUAGAGGCCAAGUGAAUUUGAAAUGGCAAAAGUCACAGCCGGAGGCCCAGCACUAGGAGAUUCCUCCGGCUGCGGGAAAUCUUCCUGUACCUGCUGAAGCUGCUGCGUUCCUCAGAGGCGCUUGGUCUGCCGUGGGAAGCUGCACCUCUGCAGUCCCCAAAACCAAAAUCAAACCUUAAAAGAGCCAGACUGAGAAGCCAGUCACCACGUAAGACAUCUGGACCACCUUCAGACUCGCAUGCUGUGAGGAAGCCCAUGCUUACUAUGUGUAGAGGAUACAUGGAGAAGGAAAGAGAUGCCUGGCCAGCUCCCUGCUGUUUCAGCCAUGUGAGUGAAGAAGGCACCAGACUUGUGAGUGGAGACACUAACUUGGAUGUCCAGCCCAGCUGAACCUUCAGGUGACUCCAGCUCUAGCUGCCAUCCUACUGAAGACACAUGAGAGAGACCCCAAGCCAGGGUCAAGAUCAGCGUGAAGCAAGUGAGGCAUUUUGGUGCAAAAUGUAAGGAGGCAUUGACCUUCAUAAUUGGGCUCCAAGACUCCAAGAGUGAGUGCCUCCUUAAAUUUUGUACUUUAGACACUACACUCACCUUUCUCUAGUUCUGGUCUUGCCUCAAGCAAGAAGAGCAGAGCUUAGCUCAGUCAACCCAAAGAAUCCUGAGAAAUAACAAAAAAAUAUUCUUUUAAGCCACUCAGUUUUGAGAUGGUUUGUUAUGCAACAAUAGAGCAUUAGAACUUUUCUUCCUGUCCAAUUGCUUAGGUGAAAGAUGCUAGUAUCUGCCUGAAUUCUUUCCUUUUCUUCACAUUCUACAUUCAAUUAAUGGCUCAUCAUAGGUGUCAAUAAAAUAUUUGAUAAGUUGAAUGAAUGAAGAA
rnacentral:lncRNA from 1 species